AGCCCGGUCGUCUAGUGGCCAAUCUCCAGAUAUUAGGAACCUGGAGACAGCAGUUCGAAUCUGCUCCGGGCUACCA
rnacentral:tRNA from 1 species